rnacentral:lncRNA from 1 species
AAGAUGCCAACUUGGCCUUAGAUUCAUUCAGGCUACCUAGGAAGGCCUCACAUUGCUACCUUUUCCCGGUUCCAAAGAUUUGGGCAGCAUUUAUCUCUUCAAAACAUUCUUCCACAGUCAAAUGUUUCAGAUGUUAUAAUCAAAAGAGCAGCUUUAAUUUCAGCAAUAAUGAAAGGAAGAAUGCUAGAUGUGGGUAAAAAAAAUUAAGCACAAGUUCAAUUUGCCCACUUGAUCAAUUUGAUGUGCGAAAAAG